AUCCUGUAAUUCCCGCAGCCUGCAGGAGCUCCGUGAGGAGGAGCGAGGCGGCCGGAUGGCGAUGCCCUGGACGGAGUGUGACCUGCCCCGGGCAGCCACUGGUGCCGCAGAGCCAGGUUUCCUUUUUUUAAAAGAAUUAUUUUUCUUCAGUGGUUCGUGAUGAGCUCUUUCAAUGUUAAAGUUCAAAGCUGGUACAGAACAGAAGAAGAGAAUCGGAUCCAACAUUGCCCCUCCAGCCUUCCAAAAGGAGACUCCAGCUUCAAAGAGUCACAGGGCUGACAUCAAAGGAGCAAACUUAAAGCAGUGUUCUCCUCAGGGUCCUGACACGGCAGCUGACAGGGCCAACAGCACUCCUGCAGGAAAACCUGGGAGGGGAGAAGUCCAGGGGAACUUUUCACCACAGCGCUUGAAGAUAAUGAUUACAAAGUUAAGGCAAGGCAAAGUCUCUUGUUCUUGUGGAGUUACUGGUUUCAGGGGAUUUUUUUUACUUAAGUACUCAAGGUGUGCAGAGCUCUUUCCCUUCUCCACAGCCACUGCCUAGAGCUGUACUUGCAUCAAUCUGUUUAUUUGUAACAAAUCAGUUUUAGAAUCUGUUUUAAAAGCAGCCUUGACGUGCAAAUUGGUAAUAUGGCCUAAGUACUAACAGCUUGUGUAUUUGAUUAUAAACAUUAUAACUUGCUCAAAAUAGACUUACAUGGGUUUGGUUGCACUCCA
rnacentral:lncRNA from 1 species